GCUGCCGCCGGACGGGGCGGGUCAUGAGGGUUGGGGAACCCGGUGAGGGGCCUGCUUGCGAGAGCCGCCAGGGUCUAAGGGAGCCCUGGUGGGUCGUUUCGGCGAAGGGG
rnacentral:sRNA from 12 species